rnacentral:rRNA from 1 species
GACGAACCGUGCGAACGUUAUUCGGAAUCACUGGGCUUAAAGCGCGUGUAGGCGGGGCGGUGCGUCGGCCGCUGAAAUCCCCCGGCUCAACCGGGGAAGGGGCGCCGAUACGACCGUCCUGGAGCGACGUAGGGGGAACUGGAACUUCCGGUGGAGCGGUGAAAUGCGUUGAGAUCGGAAGGAACGCCCGUGGCGAAAUCAGCGGACUGGCUCGGCGCUGACACUGAGGUGCGAAAGCGUGGGGAGCGAACGGG